GAGAGAGUAAUAAGAGAUUCUUUCGGGAAGGUGAAGUGUCGCUAAAAACCUACGGUCCACGCGGUGGCGUUCCUGUGACGGGUAAUUAACGUUUAUUCAGCAAGUCUGAGGUGUGGCAGGAGAUGUAAAGACUGGGGGGACAGGUUCUUAUCGGAGGAAAGAUAAAUGCUCGGGGCUGUGUAAAGGGAUUGCAAAGUGGUUUGUGAAACGGAGGGACGAAGCAUCUUCCUCCUCCCUCUCUCCGCUCUUGCACGCUGCUGCAGUCAGCCACAGCGGGCUCAGCAGCUCCCGUCAUUUUUCUCGGCUCUCUCCCGAGCGGCCGACUGCAUUCCAGCAACACCGAGGCCACUUUUUCAUCUGAAGAUCGACCUUGCUGUCUAACCGACCUUUCUCCUAUUACGCCUACUGGAUUACUGAAAACCAGACUUUUUCAUUUGUAUGGUGUGGUCUGUGUACAACAUGUUAAAAACGUUCUAAUAAGGCUUUGGACUGGAGAUCCGUGAGUAGGCUAUGGAUGUAGGCGGAUAAGAUGGAGAAGGGCAGAUAAAUGACGGAGAGGACAAAUUAAAUCUCCGCGUGUCUUCGUGGGCUCGGUGUGGAUGGUUCUCAAUUUUUCAUAAGCAGAAAAAGGAAAGCAUCGUUACAGCAAUCGGUUAUCUCCUGGAAACAGAGAGAAGCUGAAAACCAGGCAGCCUCCGACACUUUCGGUACCUUAGACGGUGGAAAGAGCCUGAAGCCUGAUUCAGUCACCAAUCUCAACCUUCUAUUCAACUCCAGCAACUUUAAAGCUGCUUUCUGCCAAUAAAUUGUCCCCCCGGUUUACCAGCUGCAUUUAAUAAGUUUGAUGGAGAUCGCUGUACCUGUGGACAGAGUACUUUAUAAAAGCGUUGAAGCUGCGUGUUUACGAAGUUCUGUUCCAAACACAGGCGAUGAUAGGUUUCCUAGUUUUAAUGUAACGGGAGAAGAGCUUGAUGACAGUCCUCUGCGUUGAUUUGAAUUGUUUGUCGGUUGCAAAAAGCUUACGAUCACAUUAAAAUUAUGUAAAUAACACAGAAUUGCAAAUGGGCUCUCUUCUCUCAGGAACACCAGCGUGGGCUCGUUCAUAGAAUUUCAUUCUUCCCGAGCCACACGCAAUACCACCUUGCUCCCUCCAAGCCGAAAAGUGUAUAGAAGGAAUACACUGACUCCAAGCUUCGCUCAACCUUCAGCAUCCCCCAGCUAUGAAAAGGCUUUGCCAAAACCUCCCCCGUAGGCCGGUCUCCCGCUACUCUCUGACCUUUAUCCUUACUGUUCUAUCCUGCUCCUGCCCGGCUCUAGGCAAGAAGAAGCUCUACAUUGGAGCCCUGUUUCCCAUGAGUGGAGGUUGGCCUGGUGGACAAGCCUGCCUCCCCGCUGCUCAGAUGGCCCUGGACUUGGUGAAUAAUAGGACAGACAUCCUGCCUGACUAUGAGCUGGAGCUGAUACAUUAUGACAGUAUGUGUGAUCCUGGUGAGGCCACCAAGCUGCUGUAUGACCUUCUGUACACAGAGCCUAUCAAAAUCGUGUUGAUGCCAGGCUGCAGCUCUGUGUCCACACUGGUGGCUGAAGCUGCUCGCAUGUGGAACCUCAUAGUGCUGUCAUAUGGCUCCAGCUCUCCUGCUCUGUCCAACCGACAGCGCUUCCCCACUUUCUUCCGUACUCAUCCAUCUGCUACACUGCACAACCCCACUCGGGUACAGCUCUUCCAGAAGUGGAAAUGGACCAAGAUUGCCACUAUCCAGCAAACAACAGAAGUUUUUACCUCAACUCUGGAUGAUCUGGAGGAGAGGGUGAAGGAGGCAGGGAUUGAAAUCAGUGUUCGUCAGAGCUUCCUAACCGACCCAGCUGUGGCUGUCAAAAAUCUCAAGCGUCAAGAUGCCAGAAUUAUUGUCGGCCUGUUCUAUGAGACAGAGGCAAGGAAAGUCUUCUGUGAGGUUUACAAGGAGAAGUUAUAUGGGAAAAAGUAUGUUUGGUUCCUCAUUGGCUGGUAUGCAGACAACUGGUUUAAGAUCAAAGACCCAUCCAUCAACUGUACUGUGGAGCAGAUGACAGAGGCUGUGGAGGGUCAUGUAACUACUGAAAUUGUCAUGCUUAACCCAGAAACAGUACGAGGAGCUUCUAACCUGACCUCUCAAGAGUUUCUUGCUCAGCUCAUGUCCAAACUUGGGGGUAAAAAUCCAGAAGAAACAGGUGGUUUCCAAGAGGCUCCGCUGGCGUAUGAUGCUGUGUGGGCUCUAGCGCUGGCCCUCAACAAAACCGUUGGGCCCCUUAGGGCCAAGGGUCAUCGUCUUGAAGAUUUCAACUAUAACAACCGAGAUAUCACUGCUGAGAUCUACCGAGCAAUGAACACCAGCUCUUUUGAAGGAGUGUCUGGUCAUGUUGUAUUUGAUGCUCAAGGAUCUCGGAUGGCCUGGACUUUAAUUGAACAGCUUCAAGGAGGAAGCUAUAAAAAGAUCGGAUACUACGACAGCACUAAAGGCAAUCUGUCCUGGUAUGGGAAUGACAAGUGGAUAGGCUCUGGACCUCCUGCAGACCAGACAGUGGUCAUUGAAGAGUUUCGCUACCUGUCUCAGAAGCUCUUUGUGUCUGUGUCUGUCUUUGCUGGGUUGGGAAUCCUUCUGGGAAUUGUCUGCCUCACUUUCAAUAUUUACAACAGCAACGUCAGGUACAUUCAGAACUCUCAGCCCUACCUUAACAACAUGACAGCAGUAGGCUGCAUGAUGUCUCUGGCUGCUGUCUUUCCUCUGGGUAUUGAUGGCCUUCAUGUCCACAGGAAGCAGUUUCCUAUCAUCUGCCAGUUUCGCCUGUGGCUGCUUGGCCUGGGUUUCAGUCUUGCAUAUGGCAGCAUGUUCACCAAGAUCUGGUGGGUUCACACUGUCUUCACAAAGAAGGAUGAAAAGAAGGAUAAGAAGAAGCAGCACCUGGAACCAUGGAAACUCUAUGCGACUGUUGGCGUUCUGCUUGGCAUCGACAUCCUGUCCCUCAUGAUCUGGCAGAUUGUUGAUCCUUUGCACAUCACAGUGGAGAAAUUUACCAGAGAAGCUCCCAAAGGGGAUCUUGAUGUUUUGAUCCAGCCCUUACUGGAGCAUUGCAACUCAGAAAAGAUGAACACCUGGCUUGGUGUGGUAUAUGGUUAUAAAGGCUUACUACUGCUGCUUGGCAUCUUCCUGGCCUAUGAGACCAAGUCCAUCUCUACAGAGAAAAUCAAUGAUCAUCGUGCUGUGGGCAUGGCCAUCUAUAAUGUUGCCGUACUGUGUAUGAUCACAGCUCCAGUCACCAUGAUUCUGUCCUCCCAGCAGGAUGCCUCUUUCGCCUUCGCCUCUUUAGCCAUUGUCUUCUCAGUCUACAUCACCCUGGUGGUUCUGUUUGUCCCCAAGAUGCGGCGCCUGAUAACACGUGGUGAGUGGCAGUCAGAUGCCCAGGAGACCAUGAAGACAGGUUCAUCCACCAAUAACAAUGAUGAGGAGAAGUCCAGACAACUAGAGAGAGAGAACAAGGAACUGCAGAAGAUCAUCCAGGAGAAAGAAGAACGUGUGUCAGAGCUGAGAAACCAGCUGUCUGAGAGACAGGCCCUGCGAUCAAGGAGAAGAGCGUCCACCAUCACUAAUCAGAACCACAGCCCCCCUCCCUUUUCCAUCACCCAGAGUGACCCCAGGUCAUUGGCCCCUCCUCCAGGAUACCCAGCGCCUGCCUCUGACCCUCAUCCUGUUCCACAGUCCUUCGCCAAUUCGUCCAGCCUCUACCAGUCAGACAGCAAGAUCAGUCGAAAUAAGUGUCACACUAGCCGGCUUCAGCUACUCUACAAGUAAGAUGGUGGUUAACAGUGGCAGGAUGAGGAUAGUAAUACAAGUUUGAAAAAUAAAUCAAUAUCUAAGGUUUAAAAUGAAGAUUAAAAAAAAGGUAAAGGAUUUUCCCUCAGACAGAAAUGAGUGCAGCAAAAUAUGUUCCAGUCAAGCAACAGCUCAAUAAAAAACACUGAUACACAGAUAUACACCCUGUGAUAGCAUAUGUACUUUUGAUUAAUUUGAUUGAGGCAUGAGCAGCAUCUUUAAAUGUCCCCUGGCUUUGAGGUCAGUUUACCACUACUACUACAACUUGAAAACAGUAGAGCGGCUGUAGCUCAAGAUGUAGACUGGGUCAUCCACCCGUUGGAAGAUUGUUACUUCUGUGCUUGGCUCCUCCAGCCAAACCACAUCAAAGAAUCCUUGGCCAAGAUCCUGAGUUGCCCCAAAGGCAUCCAUCACAGUAUGAGUGUCUGAGCACCCCGUGCUCGCUGCCCUCUCGUCUCCACACUCUCCUGGGGAAUAACAAAGAGGCAGCCGUCAGAAACACCACAAUGCAGCAGACUAACCUUACUAACUUGACAAGAGACUAACGUGAAGUCACACAAUGAUCCAGCGUUGGAGAGAGCUCCACCACACUCUUAAGUAGUUUCUCCGAUGAGGCUUAAUCAGCUGCAGGUGUGUGAUGGCCUUCAGGUGUGGCCAACCACCUGGCAGGGCCACACCCACCAGGCCUGAAGGUGCCUGUCACAGCCGCACCCACACAAACACGCACACCUGGACAACAGAAACAGCAACGCAGAGCAGCAAAAACACAUAUAAUACAAUACAAGUCCAUAACUGCUCAGGGACCCUGGAUCGCUCAGAUCCAGGACCCUGACAGGACCACCACUUUUUUACAGUUCAAGCGGCUGCCACAGGCUGCAGGGGCAUUGGAGGAAAAAAUGUUAACAAAGAUAGAAACACUAUGGCUGUUUACAUGGCUGCACACUGCUUGGGCCACACGUAGUGUCCUCUGAAACUCUUACAAAGAACAUCCAUGUCAUUUUUUCUUACUGCCGCCACAGAGUAAGCUUCAAUCAUAUUAGAGGCUCAAAUUACCCACUCAUGACUCUUUGAUAGCCUCACACUGUUUUUAUUUCUGAGCACAGACCCAUAAUUUAUAUCACAGAUUUAGUGUCUUUAUAAUGGUAAGGUUGCCAUGGAGUUUUCUGAUUAAGUUUUUGAAGAAAUAAUUAAAAUAAUCCUAACGCUAAUGCUAAGUCCUAACCUGAACACCAUCUACAUGGCUUGAUGUGAGAGGUUAGCUAACUGCAGCGCUUUAUCCCCUCUUUGUGUUAUUUUGUUUGAUUUCCAAAAAUUGUGACAUUUGACCAAAAACGAAAAGAAAGACAAAAGGAAAUUCUCCCCUCUCACAAGCUGUUCUUAGCGAUUUCAACCACAACUGAUUGUCUUCCUCUCAGCAAAGAGUUUCACUUCUGCCUCUUCUUGUGACAGCUUUUUAUUUACUGAGGAUCCAGCGUUCCAUUGUGUUGUCAUGUCGGUUUCUUUGAAUCCAAUAUAUGGGAAUAUUCUACAUGUGACAAAUAUUCAGUGUGAUCUCAAGCCUCAUUUUUCUUUCUGUGGUAGCACAGCUUGUUUCGUUAGCACGGGUAAUCUAAAUUGUCCCAAGCACCUUGCCCCAAGUAGACUAACAAGUUAAUUAGGAGGUACUGAUGUGUGAACCACGCAAACAUUGUGCAGUGCUUCGGCUAAAUUUGUUUCCGGUGAUCCUGUGUAAAUAUCUAAUGUAAUGUAUGUUUGUGUGUGUUGAUGUGAAUUAACUGUAGAGUCUGUAAAGCAGUGCAGAUGUGCUGUUCAUACAUAUGAAAAUAUGCACACAGAGUGUAAAUACUGGUUAUGUAAAUAAUUACAAUUGAUUAUUUGGCAUAUUUAACAUGUCUUUCAUGUGGUACAGUAUUCAAACUAUAUUUCUAUAUGCUGUUACAUUUAAUAUGGCAGAUUAUUUCAUUUGCAAGAAUGAAAAUAAA